rnacentral:rRNA from 1 species
CGAACGAUGAUCUCCAGCUUGCUGGGGUGAUUAGUGGCGAACGGGUGAGUAACACGUGAGUAACCUGCCCUUGACUCUGGGAUAAGCCUGGGAAACUGGGUCUAAUACCGGAUAUGACCUUCCAUCGCAUGGUGGUUGGUGGAAAGCUUUUGUGGUUUUGGAUGGACUCGCGGCCUAUCAGCUUGUUGGUGGGGUAAUGGCCUACCAAGGCGACGACGGGUAGCCGGCCUGAGAGGGUGACCGGCCACACUGGGACUGAGACACGGCCCAGACUCCUACGGGAGGCAGCAGUGGGGAAUAUUGCACAAUGGGCGCAAGCCUGAUGCAGCGACGCCGCGUGAGGGAUGACGGCCUUCGGGUUGUAAACCUCUUUCAGUAGGGAAGAAGCGUAAGUGACGGUACCUGCAGAAGAAGCGCCGGCUAACUACGUGCCAGCAGCCGCGGUAAUACGUAGGGCGCAAGCGUUAUCCGGAAUUAUUGGGCGUAAAGAGCUCGUAGGCGGUUUGUCGCGUCUGCCGUGAAAGUCCGGGGCUCAACUCCGGAUCUGCGGUGGGUACGGGCAGACUAGAGUGAUGUAGGGGAGACUGGAAUUCCUGGUGUAGCGGUGAAAUGCGCAGAUAUCAGGAGGAACACCGAUGGCGAAGGCAGGUCUCUGGGCAUUAACUGACGCUGAGGAGCGAAAGCAUGGGGAGCGAACAGGAUUAGAUACCCUGGUAGUCCAUGCCGUAAACGUUGGGCACUAGGUGUGGGGGACAUUCCACGUUUUCCGCGCCGUAGCUAACGCAUUAAGUGCCCCGCCUGGGGAGUAC